ensembl:ncRNA K06C4.23 ncRNA
GCUUGAGCACACGGUAGAUGUACACGGAGUAGGAUUCUUUACGGGCAUGACGUCUCUUCUUUCCGUCCUUUGGCUUGGUGACGGUCUUGGCGGCUUUCUUUGCUCCUUUAGCAGACGGCUUUGGUGGGGCCAUUUCGAUUGAUUGGACUGGUCGUUGGACAAGUGUAAGGAAUGGGUUGUUGGCCAUUACCUUUAUAACAAUUUUUCGGUGGGAAGGAGGAGCCUAUUGACAUUCUGUGGGGACACCUUUCUAUGCUGUCUCUCAUGCCGAAUGUACAAAGUGCAUAGUUUUUCUUGGUCACUCUGCCACUUCCCCCAUCUGUCUUAUCUCUAUGUGCCCGCCUAGUCACCGCAGCUGUGUUUAAAAGGGUG